rnacentral:misc_RNA from 1 species
GAUAAAGUUACCAUCUUGGGUGAUGGAAAUUCCAAAGCCAUCUUUCUCAAUGAAGAGGAUAUCGGGACGUACACCAUCAAAGCUGUUGAUGACCAGCGAACUUUGAACAAGAUUCUAUAUCUGAGACCUUCCAACAACAUCCUUUCCCACAAUGAGCUUGUCUCUCUUUGGGAGAAGAAAACAGGCAAGACUUUCGAGCGAGUUUAUGUACCCGAGGAAGAGGUUUUGAAGCAGAUUCAAGAGUCUCCAAUCCCAUUAAACGUCAUAUUGUCGAUCCACCAUUCAGUUUUCAUCAAGGGCGAUCACACCAACUUCGAGAUUGAGCCAUCCUUUGGGGUGGAGGCUUCGGAGCUGUAUCCAGAUGUGAAGUACACUGCUAUUGACGAAUACCUCAACCGCUUUCUUUGAAGAUGCACUGCCAGCCAGAAGUAAGCCUCGUUUGAAUUUCUUAUAAAGGUAUCGUG